rnacentral:rRNA from 2 species
AAUCAAGUGCCUUAAGGGUGUUCGGUGGAUGCCUUGGCGCUGAGAGGCGAUGAAGGACGUGCUACGCUGCGAUAAGCCGUGGGGAGCUGCGAAGAAGCUUUGAUCCAUGGAUUUCCGAAUGGGGAAACCCACCUUCGAUAGCCGGAACUCCAAGACCUCAGUCGAAAGACCGUGGUGUGGGGUUCGAACAGAAAUGUGAGAUGCCUAGGCCUUUAGAUUUCGAUCGAAGAGGUUUUGGAUUUCCGGUUAUCAAAAGAAGGUAUGAGACUUCUGAAUACAUAGGAGGUUUCAAGCAAACCCAGGGAACUGAAACAUCUAAGUACCUGGAGGAAAGGACAUCAACAGAGACUCCGUUAGUAGUGGCGAGCGAACGCGGACUAGGCC